ensembl:snoRNA
UGGACCAAUGAUGACAACUGGUGGUGUAUGAGUCAUAUACAAUGCAUAUUAUGUGUCUGGAACUCUGAGAUCUGG